rnacentral:rRNA from 1 species
UACGUAGGGGGCAAGCGUUGUCCGGAAUCAUUGGGCGUAAAGGGCGCGUAGGCGGGCUUAUAAGUCUGAUGUGAAAGUGCGGAGCUUAACUCCGUAAAGCAUUGGAAACUGUAAGUCUUGAGGACAGGAGAGGAAAGUGGAAUUCCUAGUGUAGCGGUGAAAUGCGUAGAUAUUAGGAGGAACACCAGUGGCGAAGGCGACUUUCUGGACUGUAACUGACGCUGAGGCGCGAAAGCGUGGGGAGCGAACAGGAUUAGAUACCCUGGUAGUCCACGCCGUAAACGAUGAAUGCUAGGUGUAGAGGGUAUCGACCCCUUCUGUGCCGCAGUUAACACAAUAAGCAUUCCGCCUGGGGAGUACGGCCGCAAGGUUGAA